rnacentral:rRNA from 1 species
UACGUAGGGGGCGAGCGUUGUCCGGAUUUAUUGGGCGUAAAGAGCGUGUAGGCGGCCAGGUAGGUCCGUUGUGAAAACUCGAGGCUCAACCUCGAGACGUCGGCGGAAACCCUCUGGCUAGAGUCCGGAAGAGGAGAGUGGAAUUCCUGGUGUAGCGGUAAAAUGCGCAGAUAUCAGGAAGAACACCCGUGGCGAAGGCGGCUCUCUGGGACGGUACUGACGCUGAGACGCGAAAGCGUGGGGAGCAAACAGG